UCUUGACAAUGGUUACGCAAAAAAGUCGCCAUUCCCAUCUAGACCAAUCAGAGAAAUUAAGAUAAAUAGAGGACCUUUGAUACACUAUCGCACUACAUAUAAUGGAUGUUGGGAGUCAGCUUCACUGCAAGGAAAAAACCGAAAGUCUUCGCGAUUAGCUGUUCUUCAUCUUCAAGACAACGAAUUUAUGCUACCUGAGUUAAGUUAUGAAGGGCAGCUUCCAGUAUCUGCUGAGAAGUUGCGGGACCUGCAGCAUUUAAAAAAGUUUUGCAACAAAGCAGCGCAAGACUUUUUUUCAAACCUGCCGCAUCACUAAUUAACGAAUUGGAAUAUUGUUUGGACCCUUCGCACUAACGACGAUCGAGGUUAUGAUUACUGUGAAAGAACAGGCUCAUUUCAAUACAAUGGACCCCUUUUUCCCCUGUCACUUUUGUACCUGUAUGCGAU